rnacentral:rRNA from 1 species
GACCUGAGCUCAGGCAAGAUUACC